AAUGUGUCCCAAAAAGCCAAUCGUCAAGCUGUUGACGGUUGAGCAACCAAGUAUUGUAAUUGAUUUGUUAAUAAAUAAAAUAUAUAUUUGGCAUCUUCAUCAUAAGCUUUCAUCUUCUAAUGAACUCCGUUGUUAUGAUGAAGUCCUUAGGACUUUAAGUUCGAUAAAGAGAGAAUUUAUCAAUUAGUCCUUAAAACUGUUCACGAUCAAAUGAUAAGCUGUUAAUAAGGACGACAGCUUCUAUCGAGCAUAGGUCGCUGUAGGCCAUAUGGGUUGGUUGUCCUCUUAACCAAGGAGUGUGGAGAUACUGGUAUAGCAUAU
rnacentral:lncRNA from 1 species